rnacentral:rRNA from 1 species
GCGGUAAUACGUAGGGGGCAAGCGUUAUCCGGAUUUACUGGGUGUAAAGGGAGCGUAGACGGAAUGGCAAGUCUGAAGUGAAAUACCCGGGCUCAACCUGGGAACUGCUUUGGAAACUGUUGUUCUAGAGUGUUGGAGAGGUAAGUGGAAUUCCUGGUGUAGCGGUGAAAUGCGUAGAUAUCAGGAAGAACACCGGAGGCGAAGGCGGCUUACUGGACAAUAACUGACGUUGAGGCUCGAAAGCGUGGGGAUCAAACAGGAUUAGAUACCCUGGUAGUCCACGCUGUAAACGAUGUCAAUUAGCUGUUGGGCAACUUGAUUGCUUAGUAGCGUAGCUAACGCGUGAAAUUGACCGCCUGGGGAGUACGGUCGCAAGAUUAAAACUCAAAGGAAUUGACGGGGACCCGCACAAGCGGUGGAUGAUGUGGAUUAAUUCGAUGCAACGCGAAGAACCUUACCUGGUCUUGACAU